rnacentral:lncRNA from 1 species
CUACGGGGGCCGAACUUCGCACCUGACUUUAAUUGCAGGAAGACUUCACCCAGACUCCUACGGGAGCCGGGCUCUGCCACCAACUUCAACCGCCCGGACUCCUAUGGGAGCCGAGCUCCAUCCACGACUUCAACCGCAAGGAGGACUCCGUCCGGACUCCUACGGGAGUCGGGCUCCAUCACCGACUUCAACUAUUGGUAAACUCCAUCCGGACUCCUACGGGGGCCGGACUUUGCACCUG